ACGGAAGGCAGCAGUGAGGAAUAUUGGUCAAUGGGCGGAAGCCUGAACCAGCCAAGUCGCGUGAAGGAUGAAGGUAUUAUGUAUUGUAAACUUCUUUAGCAGCAGAGUAAUAAGGUCCUCGUGAGGGCUGAUGCAAGUAUGCUGAAAAUAAGGAUCGGCUAACUCCGUGCCAGCAGCCGCGGUAAUACGGAGGAUCCGAGCGUUAUCCGGAUUUAUUGGGUUUAAAGGGUGCGCAGGCGGCUUUUUAAGUCAGCGGUAAAAGCGUGGGGCUCAACCCCAUCCUGCCGUUGAUACUGGAGAGCUUGAUUGCGGUUGAGGUUGGCGGAAUUCGUCGUGUAGCGGUGAAAUGCAUAGAUAUGACGAAGAACACCGAUUGCGUAGGCAGCUGACCAAGCCGUAAAUGACGCUCAUGCACGAAAGUGCGGGGAUCGAACAGGAUUAGAUACCCUGGUA
rnacentral:rRNA from 1 species